GGGAUUAGAGUAUGAUGAGUAUCUCUCCUUUCCGUCGAUACUCCCUUAGUACUGCAAUAUACACAGUCGACUGGAAGAAAUCCUCGACCUCAGCAUACAUGAAGCCAUAGCAAGAAGCAGUGAAAGCCACAGCAGUGAUUGGAUGGAGCAUAAGUUUUUCUAUGUCUCGGCGCCUCUAUGGAUGUCAUAUUUAGAUCAGAUGCAAUCUGAGCCUUGUUCUGAAUUUCAAAAUCCCCUUUGACAACACCUGCACAGCUGAGCAAUCAAGGGCCUAGGGAUCCGGGUUAGAAUAGGUCCUCAGUACCCCCUUGCUUGUCGUAAAAGGCGACUAAAUGGGCGGUCCUUCGGAUGAGACCGUAUAAACCGAGGCCCCGUGUCACAGCAGGUGUGGCACGAUAAAGAUCCUUCCUUGCUCAAAGGCCCUGAGUGCCGAGCAUAGGCCUAAAUUUGCAGCCCUUCACCGGCAAUGGUGACGUCUCCAUAGUGAAAUAUUCUGGAGAGGGACGUUAAACAGUAUACAAUCAAUCAAUCACAUUCUGACUAAGGGCUGAAUUAUAGUGAACACUACCAUUCAGAGACUUUGAAACAGAUUGAUGAAUGAACCACAUGCAUUAUGUCAGAGGAAUUUAGCUGGAGCACCUAUUUAGCAGCCAGGACACAUAGAUGUACCUGUACAGUUGAUACAGAUAAUCUCAACGGCACAUUUCUAAAUUAUGGCCAAAAAAAUCUAAUAAAGACACUGUCAGUUUAAAACUUUUUGAAAGAAAUCCAGACCAGAAACAAAGGAUAUUGAUUUUUAAACUCCUCCAAAUGUAAAAGGGGUUUUAUUGAAGCCAAGACCAGGAUACACCCAAGAAUAUUUAAUAUUACACCCCUUAAACAUAAAAUUUUGAAUUUUAUUUUGCCUAUCUAGUCAAGAACAUGGAUUUUUUGACAUUUGAUACACUUUAUAAUGUUACAUUGACAUUUUUUCAAGAUUUCUUUACUGUAAACUAUGUAUUUCAGCAAAAAGUACAUUUACAGAUGAUUUUUCAAAAAUUGCUUUAAAAAUACAAUUGAAAUAAUUAGAUCAUGUCUCAUAAAUGGUUAAUCACAGUUACCACAGAAACCAAAUAUUUGUUUUAAAGAAGUUAGGUACAAAAAAAAAUGUUGUGUCUUUCAUUAUUUUAGCUAAUGGCCACUCAUACAGUUUUCUUCAUACAAACUAAUCACAUUGACUAAAUUGUAUAGGCAAAUACAAUAUUUUUGGAGAUGUUGUCAUGGUAACCAGAUACAAAUCACAAAAUCAUAUUUAAAAAAAAAUAUAUUUUCAUGCAUUUACAAUAAACUGUGAAAAUAAUACAUGUAUGUUAGUCAAUAAUUAUUUUGUAUUUCAUGGAGAUUUUGUAAAGUCAAUUUAUUUAAAAAAGCAUUUCCAGAAUAAUUUGUUACCAUGGUUACAAAAAUUUAUGAGAAAUCCACUGG